rnacentral:rRNA from 1 species
GACCAGACUCCUACGGGAGGCAGCAGUAGGGAAUAUUGCUCAAUGGGGGAAACCCUGAAGCAGCAACGCCGCGUGGAGGAUGAAGGUUUUAGGAUUGUAAACUCCUUUUGUUAGAGAAGAUUAUGACGGUAUCUAACGAAUAAGCAUCGGCUAACUCCGUGCCAGCAGCCGCGGUAAUACGGAGGAUGCGAGCGUUAUCCGGAUUUAUUGGGUUUAAAGGGUGCGCAGGCGGAAGAUCAAGUCAGCGGUAAAAUUGCGGGGCUCAACCCCGUACUGCCGUUGAAACUGCAUCCCUUGAGUGCGCGAGAAGUAUGCGGAAUGCGCGGUGUAGCGGUGAAAUGCAUAGAUAUCACGCAGAACUCCGAUUGCGAAGGCAGCGUACCGGCGCCCAACUGACGCUGAGGCACGAAAGUGCGGGUAUCGAACAGGAUUAGAUACCCGAGUAGA